CCUACGGGCGGCAGCAGUGAGGAAUAUUGGUCAAUGGGCGUAAGCCUGAACCAGCCAAGUCGCGUGAGGGAUGAAGGUUCUAUGGAUCGUAAACCUCUUUUAUAAGGGAAUAAAUUGUGGGACGUGUCCUAUUUUGUAUGUACCUUAUGAAUAAGGAUCGGCUAACUCCGUGCCAGCCGCCGCGGUAAUACGGAGGGUCCGAGCGUUAUCCGGAUUUAUUGGGUUUAAAGGGUGCGUAGGCGGCUUGUUAAGUCAGCGGUGAAAGUCUGUGGCUCAACCAUAGAAUUGCCGUUGAUACUGGGGAGCGUGAGUAUGGUUGAGGGAGGUGGAAUGCGUGGUGUAGCGGUGAAAUGCGUAGAUA
rnacentral:rRNA from 1 species